rnacentral:rRNA from 1 species
CCAAGUCAGGUGGGACUACCCGCAGAGCU